AGCUUUAGUCUUUGCUGCUCGGCCAGUGGUCAUUCUGUGGACGCUCACCUCUACGCUCUGCUCCGUCUCCUCCGCCGCUCGGCGUGCAGCCAGAUCCUCCAGGUGUCGUCGGGAUUAUGUCAACUCUCUGACUCAUGAGGGCGAGUCGCCGUGUUUCCUGGCGGCGCGGCGAGGACAUGUGGCGGUGGUCCGACUCCUCCUGAAAGCGAACGCAGACGUCAACCAGCUGACCAAUGACCUCUCCUGUCCUCUAUAUGCAGCUGUGGACGGCGGGCACACAGAGGUGGUGAAGCUGCUGGUCAGGAAGGGAGCAGAGGUGGACGGGAUUCACACAGCUUCCUGCUGGACCUGCCUGCAUCAGGCGGCCUAUAAGGGACACAGCGACAUCCUGCGCUUUCUGGUUACCGUCUGCAACCUGGAGGCACAUGACGACCACCGGAUCACGCCGCUGUUUGUGUCCGCUCAGUACGGUCAGAGGGAGUGCCUGCAGCUGCUCGUUGAUGCUGGUGAGCCGCUUUACUCGCUGAUGU